rnacentral:rRNA from 1 species
UACGUAGGGGGCAAGCGUUAUCCGGAUUUACUGGGUGUAAAGGGAGUGUAGACGGCAGCGCAAGUCUGGAGUGAAAUGCCGGGGCCCAACCCCGGAACUGCUUUGGAAACUGUGCAGCUCGAGUGCAGGAGAGGUAAGCGGAAUUCCUAGUGUAGCGGUGAAAUGCGUAGAUAUUAGGAGGAACACCAGUGGCGAAGGCGGCUUACUGGACUGUAACUGACGUUGAGGCUCGAAAGCGUGGGGAGCAAACAGG